rnacentral:rRNA from 1 species
UACGUAGGGUGCGAGCGUUAAUCGGAAUUACUGGGCGUAAAGCGUGCGCAGGCGGCUUUGCAAGACAGAUGUGAAAUCCCCGGGCUCAACCUGGGAACUGCAUUUGUGACUGCAAGGCUAGAGUACGGCAGAGGGGGAUGGAAUUCCGCGUGUAGCAGUGAAAUGCGUAGAGAUGUGGAGGAAUACCGAUGGCGAAGGCAGCCCCCUGGGCCUGUACUGACGCUCAUGCACGAAAGCGUGGGGAGCAAACAGG